UACGUAGGGGGCAAGCGUUGUCCGGAAUCAUUGGGCGUAAAGAGCGUGUAGGCGGCCAGAUAAGUCCGCUGUGAAAUCUCGAGGCUCAACUUCGAGCUGUCGGUGGAAACUGUCUGGCUAGAGUCCGGAAGAGGAGAAUGGAAUUCCUGGUGUAGCGGUGAAAUGCGUAGAUAUCGGGAGGAACACCUGUGGCGAAAGCGGCGCACUGGACCACAACUGACGCUGAGGCGCGAAAGCUAGGGGAGCAAACAGG
rnacentral:rRNA from 1 species